AGAGGUAAACGGGUGGAGUUGAACUGCAUGCUCCGUGAAUUCAGCUGGUGAGAUUGUUGUGGGCUUGGUCAUGUGGGGUGGACAAUGAGGUAUGCUUAGCUGCAUGUCCCGGCCGGCUGGUUGGGAUGCGCGAUACGCUCAUCAUGCGUUGCGCGCCUCUGCUGUUCAUCUGCCCUCUCUCCAGUGCAUUUUCGCGGAGUGUUCACCAAGACCGGCGUUGCUGUCCGGCUGCUUUAGUUAAACCGGUCUUACGCGUCCUUGUGGCGUUGUUUGGUCGGGACGGCAGGUAGCCCGUUGGCUUGCUUUGCAUGCUUUCGUGUGUAAUCAGCUGACUAAAGCGGGACUGUGCAGUACGUCGGAGCUGGCGGCCAGUUGUGCCUGCUCGUGCGUCAUGCCUUCCGAAGCAUCCUGUUCUGAUCGCCAUGUUGCCUGUCUCGGCAGGUCUGGUGGUGGACAGGGUUCUAUUGGUUGGUGGUUCCUCGGGUAGCACUUUAUAGAGCCAAUAGUCUUUGGUGUCGGGUAGACUAUCCACCUGACCCGUCUGAAACACGGACCAAGGAGAGUAACAUGUGCGCGAGUCAUUGGGGCGUAACGAAACCCAAAGGCGCAGUGAAAGUAAAGGUCUGACUUGUUCAGUCUGAGGUGAGAUCCUGUUGUUUCUCAUGCCUGG
rnacentral:rRNA from 1 species